UACGAAAGGUGCGAGCGUUAAUCGGAAUUACUGGGCGUAAGGCGCGCGUAGGCGGCGAGUUAAGUCGGAUGUGAAAUCCCCGGGCUCAACCUGGGAACUGCAUCCGAUACUGGCUUGCUAGAGUGCAGUAGAGGGAGGUGGAAUUCCAGGUGUAGCGGUGAAAUGCGUAGAGAUCUGGAGGAACACCAGUGGCGAAGGCGGCCUCCUGGACUGACACUGACGCUGAGGUGCGAAAGCGUGGAGAUCAAACAGG
rnacentral:misc_RNA from 1 species